AGCACACUUCCACUUUGUGUGCCAAGGUCAUUUAAUGAAAAUGUUAAAUAAGCUUGGUCCUAAGACCAGUCCCUGAGGAACUCCACCAGUAACCUCUCCCCAGCCUGAUACUAAAUCUUCUCACAAUAUAUAAACUUCAUUAAAAGGUUCCCAGAUGCCAAAACAAUGCAGAUGGUCCAGUGGGAGGGAAGUAGAAGAGAGGACUGCAGGAGUCCUAAAGAAGCACUGGAGAGCCCUGGUGGGAUGGGGAGGGGGCAUCAUGGCAGAAGUGGAGGGGCCAACAGGAGGGCUAUGGAGAAUCAGCAGAGAAUCUUGCAACAACAGGAGAGGCUGUUGAAGGAGCAGACUGCAGCUGCCUACUAGUCUGUGUAAAAGCUGCAGUCAUGUGUUUUUAAGUGCAUGACUGAGGCUGAGUCAAAGCUCACACUUGACUGUACACAACGAUAUGGAGCAAACCCCAUCUGGAGCUGCUGGCUGAGAGUCUCUUCCAAAGCUUGUACUGCUCUGCUCAGAAAGAACGAUUUGGCUCAGAUUGCUAGAAACCGGGCCCUGGUUCCGUCAAAUGCUCCACAAACCUUACAGAGCUGUUCAGCACACGGACUCGAGCAGAGACAGGGGCCACUGCUACAUGCUAAUAUCGAUACUGUAGAUGGCUUUGAAUUUGGAAUGAAUCCUCAAGCAUAGUGAAUUUUGGCUUCCUGGUGAAGGUUUUGCCUAGCUGUAAUAUCAGUACCCUGAUCUGUUCUAUAAAAGGUUUAAAAUCUUAGGCUAGUCUGAGUCCAGAGAAAGAUUGUUCUUACUCUAAACCUCUUUGUUUUGCUUGUUACUAAUGGGGACUCCUAAAUUUUAGAUUUGAUUUCUAAAAUGGUCAAACUGAUUUGACAAUGAUCUCCUGCUGGACUGCAAACACUGCGCUCUGGAGUGCAUCGACCCCAGUGUGCAAUUGUGAAGCUGUGUUCUAUUUAGGCAUCUUUCACUUGUAAUACUAGAGGUGAGGUAAACACGAGAACACCCCUUUUCCUUCCAAGGCAGGGUGAGAAGUGUCGUAUCAAGGAUGAUGGGGCUGGUUCCUCAGCAAUUCAAAUGGUAAAUGUUCCUAACCUUCCUCUGCCACCCUGCAGAGAACAGGGAAAUCUUGUUUAUCCAUGAAUGCUUUUAUUUUUGUUUAAAGUUGCAGUUUAUGCAAUGGAUUGCCUCCCUCUCGAGCUCCCUGGAGUGAGGCCCUGGCGUUCAAUUUCCCACCUCCCACAUAGCUCUUAUUUUCCCUUGUACUCUCCUCCUGCUGCUCUGACUACUUGGCAAUAGGGUAGCAUCCUAGGAUAAAUUUGCACCAGUAUUCAGAAGUAUGUUCCAUUUUCACACACCGUUAUAAGUGCAUGCCAUUACUAUAUACUAGGGGCUGGGAGUAAAUUUUCUACUGAAAUGUUAUCUCAGUGGGAAAUGACUUUUUGAUGAUUCCCCUUUGAAUCAAAAAUAUUCAGGUUUUCAAAAACCUAGAGAUUCUGAAGAAAAUUUGUGAUGAAAAUGAACAAUCAUUUCCAUCUACAUGUUUGGUAGGGGAAAAAUAAUUUCCUGAUCAGCUUUGCAGUAUACCAUUUAUAGAUCCCAAUAUUUUAAGGUCAGAAGGAGCUAUCUAGUUUUGUAUUCUGCAUUACCAGUGCUUCACCCAGUGAUCCCUGCAUUGAUCCUGAUAACUUGCAGUGGAAACAAAGCAUUUGGUCUAGAAAAACAUCCACUCUGGGUGUGUAAGACUUCAAAUGACGGAGAAACUACCAGGAGGAAAACCAGUGAUUCAAACCCACAGCCUUCUGGUGUUGAGGCUGACUUCCUGUCAUUGCACCCAGUGUCCCUCAGGGUACUUAGUGUCUCCCUGGCACAUUUGCCGUAGGUUAUCCCGCUGCCACAUACCAUUUAGAAGUCUAUCUCAGAGCCCAUUACCAAUCCCUAAGUCAUCCAGACAUAGAGAUUGACAUUGCAUUUUUAGUGAACAAUGACGUAAUAGAGAAGUAUUAAAAUCCAUGUGCUGGCUAGUAGUUUAAAUUAGAGGAAAAAAUUGAAGUAGAACUAUUAGUUACAUGACAUAUAAUGUCAAGUGUUUGCCUGACAAAAAAUGUGUUAUCUUUUACAUGGAUCUGAUGCCAUGUUCAUAUAUGAUGUGGGAUGUGAUUGAUAGCUUAUCUCGGGGAAAGUUCUCCCCGCCAAACAUUUUACAGUCCUUAUUUAAUUGCGCUCUUAUUUUUUAUCUUUGGUUAGAUGCAGAUUUUAUGCACACCUGUGAGCUGCCAUAACUAGACCUGCUGUUUUUUAAGUGCCUUUGAAAUGUAAUUGCUUGGUUGGGAUAAUUUAAGCCCUUAAAUUUAUAACCUUUUCCAACCACUCAGGUCCUCAGAUUUAGAAAUAUUCAGAGAGCUUAGAGUUUGGGUUUCUUUGAUUAAAAAGUUGUUUUUAAAA